AGUGGCGAACGGGUGAGUAACGCGUGAGGAACCUGCCUCAAAGAGGGGGACAACAGUUGGAAACGACUGCUAAUACCGCAUAAGCCCACGGCUCGGCAUCGAGCAGAGGGAAAAGGAGCAAUCCGCUUUGAGAUGGCCUCGCGUCCGAUUAGCUAGUUGGUGAGGUAACGGCCCACCAAGGCGACGAUCGGUAGCCGGACUGAGAGGUUGAACGGCCACAUUGGGACUGAGACACGGCCCAGACUCCUACGGGAGGCAGCAGUGGGGAAUAUUGCACAAUGGGGGAAACCCUGAUGCAGCGACGCCGCGUGGAGGAAGAAGGUCUUCGGAUUGUAAACUCCUGUUGUUGAGGAAGAUAAUGACGGUACUCAACAAGGAAGUGACGGCUAACUACGUGCCAGCAGCCGCGGUAAAACGUAGGUCACAAGCGUUGUCCGGAAUUACUGGGUGUAAAGGGAGCGCAGGCGGGAGAACAAGUUGGAAGUGAAAUCCAUGGGCUCAACCCAUGAACUGCUUUCAAAACUGUUUUUCUUGAGUAGUGCAGAGGUAGGCGGAAUUCCCGGUGUAGCGGUGGAAUGCGUAGAUAUCGGGAGGAACACCAGUGGCGAAGGCGGCCUACUGGGCACCAACUGACGCUGAGGCUCGAAAGUGUGGGUAGCAAACAGGAUUAGAUACCCUGGUAGUCCACACCGUAAACGAUGAUUACUAGGUGUUGGAGGAUUGACCCCUUCAGUGCCGCAGUUAACACAAUAAGUAAUCCACCUGGGGAGUACGACCGCAAGGUUGAAACUCAAAGGAA
rnacentral:rRNA from 1 species